rnacentral:rRNA from 1 species
AAAACAACUCUCAGCAACAGAUAUCUAGGCUCUUGCAUCGAUGAAGAACGUAGUGGAAUGCGAUACUUGGUGUGAAUUGCAGAAUCCUGCGAAUCAUUGAGUUUUUGAAUGCAAGUUGCGCCUGAAGCCAUUCGAUCGAGGGCACGUCUGCUUGGGUGUCACAC